rnacentral:misc_RNA from 1 species
AACGCACCUUGCACCCUUUGGUAUUCCAAAGGGUACACCCGUUUGAGUGUCAUUGUAAUUUCACCAUCUGACUCUUUGUCGGCAUGUUGUGGACUUGGAUGCUGCCGUGUCACAAUGGCUCAUCUGAAAUGUCUGAGUGCAUCCUGGAUUGUGAUGUGUUUGGUGUGAUAAAUCUUCACCGUAAUUGGCCCCAGGGUCACACUCACUUGAUCAUGGUUCUGUGCUUCCAACCGUCUCCAACGGGACAAUAUUUGACAAUUUGACCUCAAAUCGGGUGGGACUACCCGCUGAACUUAA